rnacentral:rRNA from 1 species
UACGUAGGUGGCAAGCGUUUGUCCGGAUUUACGUGGGCGUAAAGAGCGCGCAGGCGGCUGAUUAAGUCGAAUGUGAAAGCCCCCGGCUCAACUUGGGGAGGGUCAUUCGAUACUGAUCAACUUGAAGGCAGGAGAGAGAAGUGGAAUUCCCGGUGUAGUGGUGAAAUGCGUAGAUAUCGGGAGGAACACCAGUGGCGAAGGCGACUUCUUGGCCUGUUCUUGACGCUGAGGCGCGGAAAGCUGGGGGGAGCAAACGGGG